UACGUAGGGUGCAAGCGUUAAUCGGAAUUACUGGGCGUAAAGCGUGCGCAGGCGGUUGUGUAAGACAGAUGUGAAAUCCCCGGGCUCAACCUGGGAACUGCAUUUGUAACUGGCAAGCUGGAGUGUGGCAGAGGGGGGUGGAAUUCCGACGUGUAGCAGUGAAAUGCGUAGAGAUGUGGAGGAACACCGAUGGCGAAGGCAGCCCCCUGGGCUAACACUGACGCUCGAUGCACGAAAGCGUGGGGAGCAAACAGG
rnacentral:rRNA from 1 species